UUAACCUGGUUGAUCCUGCCAGUAGUCAUAUGCUUGUCUCAAAGAUUAAGCCAUGCAUGUCUAAGUAUAAACUGCUUAUACUGUGAAACUGCGAAUGGCUCAUUAAAUCAGUUAUAGUUUAUUUGAUGGUACCUCUACACGGAUAACCGUAGUAAUUCUAGAGCUAAUACGUGCGUAAAUCCCGACUUCUGGAA
rnacentral:rRNA from 1 species